CUGGAGGCUGAGCAGUUCUUGAGUUCUUGAGUUCUGCUCAAGUCACCAGCAGAUUCAGUGUCUGAGUGAAAGGAUUUCAAUCUUAAAUGGAACCAGAAGAUAUGAAAUGUGGAAUCUCAAGAAUGUACCCUCUGAAGAAUGGAACUUAAGAACCAAGAGACUGAUUUCCAUUAAAUGCCCGAUUUACCCAAGACCAAGACUCACUGCCUCACCAAUGAACAUCCAACAAGAAUCUCUCCCCUUUCUCAAGCCAGUAAACUUACUGCUCGGACUCUGACUCAACCUCCCCUUCAUUGCACUCCUUGGCCAUAAAUAUUUAAAUAUUCUCCCUUGAUGCUCACUGGACCAGCCUAGAGCUUGCAUUGCCCAAGUUGUAUCCCUCUGCUAUUCCCAACUCAGUUUUAGGUCAAGACAACACACUUCUCUGUGGGUCAGGAAUCCAGGCACGGUUCAUCUGGGUCCUCUACUUCAGAGUGUCUCAUGAGGCUUCAAUCAAGGUGUUGGCCAGGGCUGGGGUCUCUUCUGGGAAGAGCUCUCUUGGCUGGGAAAAACCCACUUCCAAGCUCACUUGGUUGUUGGCAGGAUUCAGCUCUUUGCAGGCAGUUGGACUGAGAGCCUUAAUUCCUUGCUGGCUGUCGGCCAGAGGCUACCUUCAGUUGUCUGCUAUCCGAGCCUUUUCACAGGACAGCUCAUAACAUACCGACUUGCUUUGUCAAAACCAGCAGAGGGGAGACUUUGAAAGCAAGACUUGAUGGUCAGAAUCUUCAGUACUAUCUCUUCAUGGAUAAUAAUAUUCAUGGAUAGUA